GAUGAACGCUGGCGGCGUGCUUAACACAUGCAAGUCGAACGAUGAAGCCCAGCUUGCUGGGUGGAUUAGUGGCGAACGGGUGAGUAACACGUGAGUAACCUGCCCUUAACUCUGGGAUAAGCCUGGGAAACUGGGUCUAAUACCGGAUAGGAGCGUCCACCGCAUGGUGGGUGUUGGAAAGAUUUAUCGGUUUUGGAUGGACUCGCGGCCUAUCAGCUUGUUGGUGAGGUAAUGGCUCACCAAGGCGACGACGGGUAGCCGGCCUGAGAGGGUGACCGGCCACACUGGGACUGGAACACGGCCCAGACCCCUCCGGGAGGCAGCAGUGGGGAAUAUUGCACAAGGGGGGAAGGCCGAAUGCAGGGACGCCGGGUGGGGGAUGACGGCCUUCGGGUUGUAAACCUCUUUCAGUAGGAAAGAAGCGAAAGGGACGGUACCGGGAGAAGAAGCACCGGCUAACUACGU
rnacentral:rRNA from 1 species